UCCCACAAACCCACGAUUCAAACUUCUUCUCCCACCUAAAUUCCCUAGGUUUCCCCCAUUAUCACUCCCCAGUUAUUUUCUCUCUAAAAUUAUAGUUUUAUUCCUGAUACAAGUUCUUGGGAAAGCUUUCGAUUUUCUCUCCAAUGUCGGAUUCAACAUCACACAAGAUGGUAACAAGAGGAAAUUAAACUGUUUGUGAAUCAUCCUCCAAGAUUAUCACCGCAUAUUUGUUCAUAUACAAACACAAACAUAGUAUCCGAUCUCAAAGAAAAGCGUACUCCAGAACAAUAUAAACUAUUAAGUUCUACUUUCAGGGAUUGUGGGGUGCAUGUCGCGGCAUACGUAGAGUUUCUUAGCAUAGUUGGGCUGGUUCCACAAGUAAAAGUUGAUGCCAAUUUACUCCGUCAAAGAUAUGGUGCACUCCUUUGGGACUAUGCUAUGCGGAAGAUAGACGCUGAUGCCGUAAGCAAGAGCGAAGCACCUUCAAAGAUUCUUAGGCACA